rnacentral:rRNA from 1 species
AGGAUCCUAACCUGGCCUGUAGUGGGGGAUAGCGCGGUGAAAGCCGGAUUAUACCGCGUACAAUCUAGGGAUGAAAGCGGGGGACCUUCGGGCCUCGCGCUAUAGGGUUGGCCGAUGGCUGAUUAGCUAGUUGGGGGGGUAAAGGGCUACCUAGGCGACGAUCAGUAGCUGGUCUGAAAGGACGACCAGCCACCCUGGGACUGAGACACGGCCCAGACUCUUAAGGGAGGCAGCAAGGGGGAAUUUUGGAAAUGGGAGAAAGCCUGAUCCAGCAAUGCCGCAUGUGUGAAGAAGGCCGUAGGGUUGUAAGCACUUUUAUCCGGAAAGAAAUCCUUGGUUCUAAUACAGUAGGGGGAUGACGGUACCGGAAGAAUAAACUCGGCUAACUACGUGCCAGCAGCCGGGUAAUACGUGGGGUGCGAGCAUUAAUCGGAAUUACUGGUGCUAAAGGGUGUAUCGGCGGUUUGUUAAUAACUAUGUGAAAUCCCCGGGCUCCACCUUUGAACUGCAUUGGUGAAUAGCAGGCUAGAGUAGGACAGAGUGCGGUGGAAUUCCACGUGUAGCAGUGAAAUGCGUAGGAUGUGGGAGGAAUACCGAGGGCGAAGGGACCCCCUGGGCCAUACUGGCGCUCGUGCAGGAAAGCGUGGGGAGCAAAAUAGGAUUAGAUACCCUGGUAGUCCACGCCUUAAACGAUGUCACUAGGUGGUUGGGGAUGCGUUUCCUUGAUACGCAGCAAAUGCGUGACGGUGAACCGCCCUGG